rnacentral:rRNA from 1 species
UGGGAACCUUCCCUAUGGUUCGGAAUAGCUCAGGGAAACUUGGGGUAAUACCGCAUACGCCCUCUUGGGGAAAGAUUUAUCGCCGAAGGAUCGGCCCGCGUCGGAUUAGCUUGUUGGUGGGGUAACGGCCUACCAAGGCGACGAUCCGUAGCUGGUCUGAGAGGAUGAUCAGCCACACUGGGACUGAGACACGGCCCAGACUCCUACGGGAGGCAG